GGGGGAGUAAAGGGAGGGAGUGCUCCCCAGAAAUCAGUUACUUAAAGGAAGCCGUUGCUGCUGCUUGGUGUGGAGAAGUCAAGAGGAAGAGUGGAGGCUGCACCCCUGCAGACAUUCCUGGAACUGAGCAGAGGGAGCCUUGCACGAUAGGAGAGGGCUGAGAAUCUGCUGCCUCUGGAUGGAGUGAGAACUGCUCGAGUGUGGAGGACGGAUUGGAGCAGGGAGUAUAAGGAGGCAGUCUGAGCAAUUAGGAUGCACUUCUGAUCCUGGGCCUGUUUCCCCAUCCAUAAGGCAAAGGGGCUGAGCGGAAG
rnacentral:lncRNA from 1 species